CGUUGAUGAAGAUCUCUGGGAGGGAUGAGAGGAAGCCGCGGGCGGAGGCAGGGGCGACCUCAGCGGCAUAAACUGGGGCGAUGACGAGAGCAUAGCCGACUCCCACGCCACCGAAGAAACGGCCGACCAUUAGGACAGCGUAAUUAGGGGCGAGGCUGGUGAUGAGAGAGCUGGCGAAGAAGAUGGCAGCUGCGAAGAUGAUGGUGAAGCGGCGGCCGAUCCAAUCGGACAUGCGGCCGGCGAUGGUGG
rnacentral:misc_RNA from 1 species